AUUCCACGAUUUGGACACUUUUUCAUCUGUUCCUUGAAUCUAUUCCAUGCUUCUUGAUAGCUCUCUCCAUCUCUCUAUUGGAAAGUUUGAAUUUUCAAUCUGAUUUU
rnacentral:snoRNA from 1 species